UGCUGGUGACCUAUUCCCUUUGACGAUCCCUAGGUGGAGAUGGGGCAUGAGGAUCCUCCAGGGGAAUGGCUCACCACCACUAGGCAACAGGCCUAGCCCAGAUUUCAAUGAGACACUUUCUCGAAUCCAGCAAGAUAGACAAAGGCUCAAAGAAUGCCACCCUACAUCAAACUUCUUUUGUUCUUUGUAGUGUCAUCUACCAAACAUUACCCUUCCCCAAAGCAGCACAGAAAACUGGGUCUUCAGCACGAUCAAGAAAUGUGAACACACAGAAGGAAGGAAGCUUUAUAUACGACCCGAAGAUCCACAUGCCUGACUGCAGCAUCUUAAAAGCAAUAGAAUGAGGUAA
rnacentral:lncRNA from 1 species